ACGAACGCUGGCGGCGUGGAUAAGACAUGCAAGUCGAACGGGAGAAUUGCUAGCUUGCUAAUAAUUCUCUAGUGGCGCACGGGUGAGUAACACGUGAGUAACGUGCCUCUUAGUGGGGGAUAGCCCUGGGAAACCGGGAUUAAUACCGCAUACGAUUGAAAGAUCAAAGCAGCAAUGCGCUAGGAGAUGGGCUCGCGGCCUAUUAGUUAGUUGGUGAGGUAACGGCUCACCAAGGCGAUGACGGGUAGCCGGUCUGAGAGGAUGUCCGGCCACACUGGAACUGAGACACGGUCCAGACACCUACGGGUGGCAGCAGUCGAGAAUCAUUCACAAUGGGGGCAACCCUGAUGGUGCGACGCCGCGUGGGGGAAUGAAGGUCUUCGGAUUGUAAACCCCUGUCAUGUGGGAGCAAAUUAAAAAGAUAGUACCACAAGAGGAAGAGACGGCUAACUCUGUGCCAGCAGCCGCGGUAAUACAGAGGUCUCAAGCGUUGUUCGGAAUCACUGGGCGUAAAGCGUGCGUAGGCUGUUUCGUAAGUCGUGUGUGAAAGGCAGGGGCUCAACCCCUGGAUUGCACAUGAUACUGCGAGACUAGAGUAAUGGAGGGGGAACCGGAAUUCUCGGUGUAGCAGUGAAAUGCGUAGAUAUCGAGAGGAACACUCGUGGCGAAGGCGGGUUCCUGGACAUUAACUGACGCUGAGGCACGAAGGCCAGGGGAGCGAAAGGGAUUAGAUACCCCUGUAGUCCUGGCAGUAAACGGUGCACGCUUGGUGUGCGGGGAAUCGACCCCCUGCGUGCCGGAGCUAACGCGUUAAGCGUGCCGCCUGGGGAGUACGGUCGCAAGAUUAAAACUCAAAGAAAUUGACGGGGACCCGCACAAGCGGUGGAGUAUGUGGCUUAAUUCGAUGCAACGCGAAGAACCUUACCUGGGCUUGACAUGUAAUGAACAACAUGUGAAAGCAUGCGACUCUUCGGAGGCGUUACACAGGUGCUGCAUGGCCGUCGUCAGCUCGUGUCGUGAGAUGUUUGGUUAAGUCCAGCAACGAGCGCAACCCCUGUUGCCAGUUACCAGCACGUCAAGGUGGGGACUCUGGCGAGACUGCCCAGAUCAACUGGGAGGAAGGUGGGGACGACGUCAGGUCAGUAUGGCCCUUAUGCCCAGGGCUGCACACGUACUACAAUGCCCAGUACAGAGGGGGCCGAAGCCGCGAGGCGGAGGAAAUCCUGAAAACUGGGCCCAGUUCGGACUGUAGGCUGCAACCCGCCUACACGAAGCCGGAAUCGCUAGUAAUGGCGCAUCAGCUACGGCGCCGUGAAUACGUUCCCGGGUCUUGUACACACCGCCCGUCACAUCAUGGAAGCCGGUCGCACCCGAAGUAUCUGAAGCCAACCGCAAGGAGGCAGGGUCCUAAGGUGAGACUGGUAACUGGGAUG
rnacentral:rRNA from 1 species